UCUCUGCAAGACGAGGCUGCAACGUGCUGCUUGUUUUUAUAAAUUAUCUGUUAAAGAAAGUAGAAAAUAUGUAAAUGAGGGGAAAUUCUCCUUGUAUGAUGACGGAGAAACACAAAUGAUGACUGUGAGUAUUAGAAAUGUAACUGAGCAGGACUCUGGUGAAUACUGGUGUGGAGCUGAAGCAGCCUGGACAUCUGAUCAUGGAUACAAGGUUCAUUUCACACAGAUCGACCUGACAGUUGCUGAUCCACGUGUCCCUGUUUCAGCAUCAGUGCCAACAAUAUAUUCAUUAACAUCUUUACCAACAUCACCAUCAUCAUCAUCAUCAUCAUCAUCAUCAUCAUCAUCAUCAUCGCUUCUACUUCUCCCAAAUAAGCACAACUCCUGGUCUACUCCAGUUUCUCCUCCAGCAGGAUUUCCAGCUUUCACUGUGAUCACUGUGUCUGUAAUUCUGCUGCUGCUUCUGACUGGAGUCAUAUUCCUCAUUGUGAUUCUACAUAGGAGACGCAGGACGCAAA
ensembl:lncRNA